UUAUAGGCAACGAAGGAACGAGUAGGUCCCCAUAUCUUGUCGAAGAGAGCCUGGGGGUGGUGUAACCAGGUCAGGAUCGUGAGCCGAAAAUCAUUCCAGAGCCGCUAGCCGAAACAACAAAGUAGACCUGGCCGGGACCUUCCCGUUAUCAUGAAGGGCUGUAUGGAUCCUCUCAAUUGGGGAGUUACAGCUAAACCAAGUGAGCCAUAUCUAUCUCACACCUCGUGAGAAUGUGGCUAAUAAGGGUGGUACCGCGGGAGUUCCUCUCGUCCCUAUG
rfam:Ktedonobacter sp. 13_1_20CM_4_53_7 13_1_20cm_4_scaffold_29355, whole genome shotgun sequence.